GUGUUUGCUUUUGCAGCACAUAUACUAAAAUUGGAACCAUACAGAGAAGAUUAGCAUGGCCCCUGUGCAAGGAUUACAGGCAGAUUUGUGAAGCAUUCCAUAUUUUU